CUGCGCGCUCCCGCGCGUCUGUGAUUCGGCUGAAGAAAGGUGAUUUAAGUCCAUUAUCUCUCUGACUGACUCCCUCACCAGUGUGCAGAAACUACUGAAAUAGGGAGCAGAUUGAGACGCAGACAGAGAUUUAGUUUGGACUUAUUUUUGUUAAUUGUUCUCAUCUUAAACAGAAAAAUUCAACAGAUCCACGUGACACACAUUAUAAAGAUGGCCUUUAUUAAAGAGGAGCAUGAAGACAUGAAGAUUGAAGAAACAUUCAGAGUCAAACAUGAAGAUACUGAGAAACAAACAGACCUGAAAGUGAAGAGUGAAGAACUGAAUGAAAUACAAGAUAA